UGCUGUUUCCGCAGCACAUGCUCCACAACAGCAACAGCAAGUGGGCAGAGCCAGGCUGCCAGCACUGGACCUGCCCCAGGCCAGAGGGAGCACUGAUUUUCACCAGCAAUUUGAAGUGGUCAAGGCCCCUAAUUAGCUGUUAAGCAUGCUGUGUUGGCUUUACAAAGCUGGUUGGAAGGGUAAGAGUAAGAGCCUAGGAAAUAGAGACCUUUUCAGUUUGGUCUAAGAAUUUCUGAGUUGAAGGUGAAGAGAAAAAUCUUCCAGGUCAAUGUUGCAGGCUGUCUGCUGGUGCUCAGAGUACGUCUUGCUGACCAUAUUAAUGUGAUUCACCUAAACUAAAAGACAGAAUGUGGCUGAACUUUAAAAUGAUACAACACAAUAAAAAGGUACAAGCUCUAGGAAAGAAGUUCCGUGCUUGAUCAUCAAGGCCACCACAUUACACUAUGAACAGUGAUAAUAUUCUUGUGAAAUGUAACCACCAGAACCUUGUGCAUCCUUUGUUAACACAUUUAACAUGUUAAGACCACCUGACACAGUUCAACAGCUGAAGGCACUCAGAACCUCAGUCCUCUUGCUUCCUUCCAGGCACAGAAGAGCACUGUCCGUACUGGAGCUCUCAUUGACUGAUCAAAGCAAGGAAUGAGAAUGGACACAACCUGCUGUUCCCCGACAGCCCUGGAAAGCUGCUACCUGGACUGCAGCCUGCGUUGUAACCUGAGUGGAAUGGUACCAUUGCUCCUGGCGUUUUUGAAAAAAUUAUGAACUCAGGUUGCAGCCAGGAUGGAAUUUACUAACUAAAUGGUGACUAAAGCCGAUCAUCUCACAGCCUUAGAAACAGCAGCCCUCAAGCGAGACCUUUGUGAGCUCUCCUGGGCCGCAGCAGGCACGUGAGCAGCAUCUCCCCCUGAGCAGGACACCGCUCCGAGCUCCAAACCACCAAGUCUGCGAUACCAGGGGACUGUUGUGGAAAGCUGUGCUGAUACCCCAGCUCCUCAAGGCUCAACCCGUCACCCUUUGAGGAAUGCAAAAGGCAUUAGACAAAGGCAUUCACUGAACUCAAGGGGAACUUUUAACAGGUAUAACUUUUUCAUAAUAUGCAUUGCAAGCUUGAAGUAAUCUACGUUAUUUUUGUCAUUUAAAACAAAUUGUACUGGUUUGCUGCUAAAAUCCUAUACAUAAAAUCUUGAAUUGUGAGAAAACUCUUUCUCCCCCUUAGACAUAAACCAUUGUCCAAGUGUGAACUAGGAAUAGACAGCUGCACCUAAACUCUGUGAGUUUAGAAACAAGGGCAUCUACUCUAAACCUCAUGACUCGACAGAAUAGUCUCCUUUAUUCUACACCCCACUCUAUAUCCCUCCCAUUAGGCAUAAACCCUUGACCAAGUCUGAGACUAAGAUUGGAUCUGGCUGCACCUAAACUCUGUUUGAGUACAGAAAGCAAGGGGGUCCACAUUAAAUCUUGUGACUCAUGUGUAGAUCACCUUUACCCUCUUAUGCCCUUGACCUUUAUAAACUAUGCCCACCUCUAUUCUGACUUGAUUUCUACUUGAUUUGUCUCUGUGCAUUUACCCCAUGUAAUCAGUAGUAGAGUGAACCUUGCCAUCACAUCUUGUGCAGUCACAUUAUUAAACCUGUUUCAUUCAAACCCUUUUGGUGGUGAUCUUUAAGUGAUCUGACCUAAACCACUCCUUUUGCAGCACAGCAGCUUGUUAAAAAUGAAAGAAAGAGCUUCUAAAUCACUUUUGAAAAGAGAUUAAGGAAGGGUCAGAUUCUGCAAGCAUUAGUCCUGCUGAUGAGCACUUAACAGCUGUAAAUUCUAUUGUCAUGUUGGCCUUAAAUAGGAUUUCUUGGAUGGGUUAUGCCUAGUCUAUUAUACUCUGCCCUAACUGGAGCUUUUUUUUUUUUCUUUUUUUAACAAAGAAUGAUCUCUUAGGUCUAAGAACAGUGUUUCCCCUAGUAAAGAAGAAAGACAGAAUUGCAGAUUAGUUCGAUAAUCAAGAAAACCAUGGAAGUUUCCUCAGUGACCUGAAUAGACUUUUUCCUCUAUGGCACUUUAGGAAAGUCUACCUUAUUUUAAAUAAGUUUAUGUUUUGGUAUAAUACUGAGCUGAACGUUAACAUUGUGGAUUUUGAAUCUGAUCUACUUCGUAGCAUUUGGGUAUUUUGGGAUGUGGCGAUUUGGCUGAAAUCCGAAUCUGCCCUACAAAGAUUUUUAUUUUGCCACCUCAAAUGCCAGAGCUGUCUUUUUUGCUGCUGCCUACUUUGGGGCAGAAGCCCAGGAAUGUUUGGCAGGCUAGGGCUCUAAAGAGGGACUGGCCACCCGAAGUUCUGACAAAGUGAGCACAGGUGGUACCAUCUGCAGUUUACAGUAAGGGCAGCAUGGUUUUCAGAAAGGAAGAAAAAGUGUCAGGAAGAUAAUUUUCAGAGGUGGAAACAAUUUUAAGAACAAUUUUAACCACAGGUUCAAGAACUAGCUGUGAUCUCAACAGCUGUUCAGCUGAAUCAAAUCACCUCAAACUCUAACAAAUACCUUGCAAACAGUAACAAGUGAGUAACUUUUUUGGUGGGUGCCCAUUUGGAAUACUCACGUAUCAACAACUAAAAGAUUUUGUGAAGUGCCUGCACUCUAAAUACAUUUGCCUAGCUAACCUAUCACCUUGUUGAGGUGCUGGAUGAUUGCUUUAUAGCAGGUGUGGAUGUUUACUUUCCUCUAAGAAAUGGUCAGUAACAGACCCGGUAACAGGCCUUUUAAAACUCAAAUACGAUAUAAAAUACUGUCCCAAAUGUACAAUAUAAAAUGAAGUACUUGAAGAUGCAAACUGCUGCAAACAGCUUCUCUAAGAAGUUGGAUGACUUGGUCUAACAGUUCUAAUUUCCUGUAGGCUUACCUAAAUAAAUGAAGAAAAAAAUGCUCAAACUCAGUUAUUACAGAAAAAAGAUCACAGGAUCUCCUUGCAAUUUCAAACCCAAAACGUCUAAAUUUAUACUUCUGGAGUCAGAAUUCCUUGCAGAAAUAAAUGUGUUGUACUGGGCGAGUCAUUCAUUGACCAAUAGAUAAGAAAACCUUACCACCUCAGAAAAAUGCUUUUUUAUGAGAAAUGUAUACAAACCCAGCUAUGUCUUAUGUCUUAUGUCUUAUUGACCUAUCAUUUGCUAUCCACCAGGGUUGAUUUGGACACUCAUUGGUUUGGUAUAAAGAAAAAAGAUGUUUUUCUUGUUUAUAGCUCUAAAAUUUGAGAAUAACUUUUCCUGAAAGGCUCAGCAAUUAUUUCAAGAAACUGAAGAAAUGUAUUUAAGUGUGCAAGUACUUGAUCUUGUUUCCAGCAGUGAUAUUUUCUGAUCUUCAGUAGUAAACAUAACACAAAUAUUAGCAUUCAGACAAUUUUUGUAGUUUUUCAUAACUAACAGAAGUGCAGUCCUCUCUAAUUGUAAUUGGAAACUGAGACAAAUUGAUAAUGUUUUAGCCAUAAGUUUGAUUAAGCUUUGCUCUUAGUUCUGUGUCUUUAACUACCAGCCUAUUUUUGCUCUAAUAGAGCAGUAAAAUCCAGUACUUGAACGUAAAGGUAAUGCUGCAGGAGAAAAGAAAUUUUCAAAAUCACAAAGAUAAAUGCACAGAAUUAGAUGAUGAAGAGUAAUGUCAGGUUCAUUGUGUCACUUUAACUUCCCAAAAGCAUUGAUAGAAAGAAUUAAGUCUUUAGUGGGUUUGUGGUGUUCAUGGUGAAUGGUUGGAUGCUCUUGGAUAAAUCAUGUUUUUAAAAGGUAUGAUGUUCUGAGAAAGCUGUCUAUAAGCUUUUCAUUCUUGCAUUAAACUGAGUCCUAAAUCUACUGAUUGCAAAACCCAAAUAUAUCCAAGAGGGGUGGAAAUUAGAACAUUUUUUCAGUUUAUCAUGCAAAUAUAUCAAUAUUAUACAUUGUGCACAUAUAUACACACAUAGUUUAUUUAUAUGAUGUAUUAAUAAGCUUUUUUUUUCCAAUGAAAAAUGCUGCAAUCAAUGUUUGAGGAGGAAAGUGUAAUCAAACUGCAGAACCACAAAGUCUUCUGAGAAAACCUGUUGCCUUAUGGUGAUGUGGUGAUAUUAUUUACAUCUUAUAAACACAGUCACUGAUUUGUAGCUCCUGUCAGGGAUCCUUAGUGUUAUCUUGCUGCUCAUCCUGUCAUACAUGAAUGCCUACCUUUGAACCCUGCUUCUGGGUGGUUGAGCCCCCUCCUGGAAUUUAUGCUGUUUGUUUUGAACCUUUCAUGGAAGAGAAAAAGGCUGACAUAUACUCAGUCAAGCAUCAUAUGAAGACCUAAGCUGAAAGCAAGCUGGUUUCACUUAUGCCUUUUUCCCCAAUACGAUGGUAAAACCAUCACAUCUUCUGUUCCAUUGUCUAUAGCAUUGGUGCGUGUGUACUGACAUCCACCAAUUUUAAAAGCAUAGCUCUUUAUUUGAUGCAAUUGAUUUUCCAUCUCAACAGACUAUAUUGAGCUGCCAUUUGACCAGUGUCUAAGUAAAAGAGUGAGCAGGUGAAGGGAAGUAUAGAAACAACAAUAUUGAUCAGCUAAAGAGAGACAGAACAUUUUUAAGAGCAUAAAAACAUAAACAUCCUUUCCAUCAGUGACUGCAUAAUUUAUGAACAUCAUCCUGUCAGACCACGCACUGUUUGCAUCUGGUUUUCUGUCAGAUUCACCCGAAAUCUGUCUCAUAUUAUAUUUGACUGUGACAACAGUAGUACUGCAUAAAGUUCACCACUGCAUAAAACUCACACACAGACACAAAAAGUUAUCACUGGGCAAGUACAAGGUUCAGUUGUACCUGUGCUUGACUAGUUUCUCUGUCUUUUUUUUUUUUUUUUAACUGUCUUCUCACAGCAUUUUUUUUUAUGGCUUUAGGCUUUGUAAAUAUUUUUUUAGCAAAUGAAGGUGUUUCACCAAAUGAUUUUCACAAGCUUAACUUGUUUUAAUGCAGCCUUCAACCUUUGUCACAUGACAGUUCAGUAAAAAGUGCCCCAAGUUUCAAGCAGCCUGGUUUUCAAACUUUAUAUUUGUGACUUACUCAGGUCUGUUCUUUGUGAAUGUCUACUUUGUUCUAGGGAUUGCUAUAAAUCAAAGCAGUCCCAUCCAGCUGGCUUAUCUCAGCAACUCUGAAUUUCAAAAAUCAGUAAAAUAGGUCAUCCACUACGCUGAGGCACCAGUGAGCUCAAUUCACACCAGCAUCUUCUGGGAUGAAAUUCUAGUCCAGGGUCCACGCUCUGCCCAGUUCUUAGUUUUCCAGAGUAGACUUGGUAACUCCUGGUGGAUAGUUUAGUCCUGUGAGACCUGGGAAAGUGAAAGAGAACUGUAUUGUCAGCUACUGCAGAAGCAUCAGAAGAUCUCAUGGCACGGGGAGUGGGGUAUUGGUGUACUAUAGUUUAGUCAGAGAAUCCUCUUGAAAAUCAUAGAAGCUGUCAGUUCAGAUGGAGCAAUAUGCAGGUUAGGGGUUUCCUGGCCUAGAAUAUGUGUCUAUAUCACUUUGGGUUUAUACAUUUUUGUUGGAACCAUUAGUUUUCCUCCUCUGACAUCUUGCAUUGUGGUCAUAGACUUGAGAUGGAUCUGCUUCCAUCUUUUCCUUUGGUGAGCAUGCUAAAAAGAUCAAAAUUACUUUGAAUAUCAAACCUAGUUUUUUGGGGCAUACAAAGAAGGAACUUUUUAAAGAGGAUAUGCAGUAAUAUUGUGUCCAGCAGAUAUUUAGAAAAAAAAAUAAAAUUUGAAAAACAUGAUGCCCUGUGUCCUUUUCUACAGGGUCAUAUGUUUACGAUGCAUCACUGGAUUUCUUUAUUGCAAUAGGAUCUACUGUUGUGGGUUGACGUGAGCCAACAUCUCCUGGAGUGGAGAAAGCAGUGUUGUAUUGCUCACUACCUUUGGGUCCAAGCAAGAAGUCUCUGCUGCAAAAGGUGCAUUGCUGGAGGAGGUUCCAGAGCAAAAGAAAGACCUUUAUAUUUCCCAAAAAAUGUUUUGCCUUCUCUUGCCUGUGCUAAAAGUUGAUUGAUCACACUCCAUUCAACAAGAACUUUGCACACUUUAGAAUUAUUUUAUAUGGAACUAUAAUUAUAAUUUGUGAUUAAUUCUACCUAGACUGGAAAGCUGCAUGAUCUUCUACCAAAAGUUGUUUAAAGUAGCUGCAUCACAUGCAUUUAUAAUGUGAUUUGACAAAUGUGAAGGCUGAGGGUGGAAAAAAGGGGUAGGAAGAAGAAAUGUAGGCUAAGAACUCUCUGCUGUUUGAAGGGUAUCUGAAGAGACUGCAUGGGAGUAAUGAGAACCAUUUAUUUUCUGAGAGACAAUCCUGAUGAGCACUAAAUACAUUCAAAUCCAGUUAUCUGCAGAUAUCUUGGCAAGGGCUGAUUUUUUCUAUCCUACUAAAAGCAGUAACACAUUUGUAUUCAGUAUACAGGUGAUCCUCAGAUCAUCCUUGCAACAUACAGGGGGAAAGAAAGAGAGGAAGUUUUGAGAAAUUAUACAUGUAAUUUUUCUCCAUAUUCCUUUUUCUACGCAAAAGAUGUAAAAGAGGGGAAAGGUGCAGUUUCUUAAUUUUCAAUGAGUACAAGAGUGUCUGAAAAAAAUUAAACUAUUCUAGCUGUGACACUAAAAUUUUCAAAUUUGCACAAUUUGACCUUUGGGAACUCUAGAGCUGAAAAAGCAUGAACUGUAAUUGAUGCUGUUCUGUCACUCCACCACACUGACUGCUGUGGUGUUUUAAGUGGGAAGCAUAUCUAUGCUAUUUCUGACUUUUGUUUUGCCAAGACAACCUCCUGACCACAUAAAAAUAACUCAUUCUAACAUUUGUUAGCAAAUCUCCUUCAAAAUAUUGCUGAAACCCUUAUAGGGUACAUUUAAGCUGUCUUAGAAUUUCUCUACUGGUUCCAAAAGUUGCAGCAUAUCCUCUUAUUUUAGUUUAAUUUUGCUUUCAGGAAGGACACUGUUUAUCUGAAUGCUUUGAACACCAGGGUGUUCAAUUACUCAAAGUUGGAUGUAUCUGGUAAAUUCAUGAGAAACUAUUCUGUGGCUUGCUUCUAAACAGUGAAAAAUACUCCUACCAUGGGAGACAAUUCAGCUGUAAGGCCUGCUUGUGUACCUAAAAAUAGUAAAAAGGAAAUUCUCAUAUACUGUAAAUAUUCGUUUAUUGAAAUGAUCUUUAAAAAAAUCUGGAAUAGGUACACUAUGAUUAAUAAUUCUAUGUCAUAAAGGACUAUUCCUUGAAUCUUCUGUAAGGUCAUUAUCAGUUUAAUCAGUUUGCAUUGCUAAAGACCUCAAAAGACCUUACUUUGUAGAAUAAUUUUGGAAAAUAAAAAUGAAACCCUAUGAUCUAUUCUAAAAUAAGUCUAUGUGGAUGUAAUUUUUUUUUUCUUCUCACUGUGAAUUACGAAUAUAUCCCAUACUGCUGCAACAUUUUAAUAACAAUGUUAUCAUUUUGCCUAGACAAGAAAAACCCAGAGAUUUAUGCUAAUGACAGCAAUUAUGUAUGAAAUAAGCAUAUGUCAACAAUAUGUAGUCUUUGGUUUCACUGGGAUACAUGUGAGGAAAACAGUGGGUUUACUAUGAACUUAUAGUGAUGUACUCAUCAGAAGUUUGACUACAUUUUUCAAAGCUGUUCAGCAUAUGUGUUUAUUUUCCCAGCCUUCUUGAGAAAAUUCUGUCCAUGGCAAAUUAUGGUUAAGAAUAGUUCACUAGGAUAAUACACUUACCAGGUCUCAUAAAUGAUCGGUCCUACUGAGUAUUUAAAGAUUGAGGUUUCUUUCUGGGCCAGUGCAUGAGGGACCUUCAGAACAGUUGUAACUUGGCUUGAGAGCCAAGACGGAGAUAAGGCUGUAACUGAAUAACCUUGUCAUCAUACUAGGACAUGCAAGUUGGAUCUUCUCCAUCGGUAUAAUUCUUGCAACCAUUGCCAGCUCCAAGUGACAUGGUAAGUAUGGAGAAAAUCACAGGACUGAUAAAUUAGUCCCUGCUCUCUUUUCUACUUCCCCCCCCCCCCCCCCCCGUUUGCAUUUUUCUGGAAACCUAAUUUUCUCUCCCACCAUACAGUUAUUAUCACAUGGCCAAAAUACACAUAGCUGCUCUAACAUGAGGAGUUCAUUUUAGUGUUUUCACAGAAGAAGGUAUGCUUGUUAGAUCAAAUAUUCUCAUAUCUGAAUGACUGAAGGUGUAACAAAGAGGGACCAAUAUGGUUGUAGACAAGUUUCAUGUGUUAGAGGUGGUAGGAUUUGUUCUGGCCCCCAAAGUUAAACAAUACUGCUUGCAGGUCAUCGCAGGGAGAAAUAUACAUUUAUGGGUAGCCUACAAACACAGAGAUGUACUUCUUAGGCUAGUUAAUAUGACAGUUGCAGCCAGCAGAUGUUUCAGGUGAACUAUGGCAGGACAUGGCUGAUUUACUAUCAAAAGAAUUAUUUACUGCUGUAAGUACCUUUCUUUUCUGAGCAGAAUAUACAAGCAUUUAAGGUAAGAGUUUCCAAAGGUUGCUGCCCCAUAGGCCAUAUAGGAAAAAGCAUGUGAAAUUAACCUUAAAUUCACUCGUAACAAGUUAUAUUUAUUUAAUUUUUUUUACCUUGCAGAAAAUGUAUAAAAUCUUCCACAACUCAACAGUGACUGCACAUCUGUUUCUCCCCUCACCUUCACAGUUCAGUUUUUAGCCAUAGUUAAAAUGGCUACAAUGUUAACGUUUUUCUAUCCAGUUUUUAAAACUAAAAUACAGCCUCAAAAGUUUUGUGAAAAAAGAAAAGAAACUGUUUCUUAACCUAUAAUUGAUUUAAUUUUCUGAAGGAUAAUAUCUCAAGGUAGAGCAUGACAAUAAUAAUGAAUAUUUUCUCACGUUGCUGCUGCUCUGUGCUCAUUAGUCUUCAAUGUCUUUUAAACUAUAAAUAUUUUUAAAUAGAGUGCUUACAAAAAGGACAAGUCUUCAUCAAGUACCUACACUGUUUUGAGGUAGGAAGGGCCAAUUUAUGUGGUUUAUUUAAUUUUCUUCAUGGGAAAGCCUUAUCUGUUCAUUGUAUCUGUCUUCACCACUUAAAUUAUUUUCUCUUACUGUCUUAAGGGUACUUAUCUUCACUAAUCUACAGAACUAAAGUUAACAUCCAUGUUUCAUACGUGCAGAACCAAAAUGGAAAUAAUAAUUGGCUUCCCAAGCUCACACAGACUUUGGGCAGAAUUGCCCAAGUCCAAGACUAAUCCUAUAUUCACCAUAAGUAUUCUGAUCUUUGUCAAAGCAUUGAACCUAGGGGAGCUCAUAGCCGGACAGUAUGUCAAAGGGCAAAGAACAGCAUGUCCAGGCUGGACAAGGCGAGGCUGAUAAAUUCUGUAUUACCAACAUCUGAAAUAUUUAAGACAGUAUUCUUCAGUUACACCAUGAGUUUGAAAUCAGUACAAUGAGGAAUGUAUGUUGUAGCUCCCACUGGAUCAAACUACUUUUGUAAGCUUCAUGAAAUUUUAGCUGUUGAAAUCUGUGUAAAGACCUAGAUUGUAUGGAAUAAUUUGGGAGCCUGCAGUAAUCCAACCUGGGUAGUACAGAGGAACAGAUAAAGAAGAUAAAGGGCUGUGACCUAUUGAUCAGAGUGGCAUUACAAUGGUUUCAGUUUUUAUAACAUAGAUGUCAUGAAAGAAAUAUUAAAAUUCAAAAGAACGUGAUGCUUCUAGAGUUCCAUUUUAUUAACCCAAAAGAAACGGUC